AACGAACGCUGGCGGCAGGCUUAACACAUGCAAGUCGAACGCAUCCUUCGGGGUGAGUGGCAGACGGGUGAGUAACGCGUGGGAACGUGCCCUUCAGUUCGGGAUAACCCAGGGAAACUUGGGCUAAUACCGGAUACGUGCGAGAGCAGAAAGAUUUAUCGCUGAAGGAUCGGCCCGCGUCUGAUUAGCUAGUUGGUGGGGUAAUGGCCCACCAAGGCGACGAUCAGUAGCUGGUCUGAGAGGAUGAGCAGCCACAUUGGGACUGAGACACGGCCCAAACUCCUACGGGAGGCAGCAGUGGGGAGUAUUGGGCAAUGGGCGCAAGCCUGAUCCAGCCAUGCCGCGUGAGUGAUGAAGGCCUUAGGGUUGUAAAGCUCUUUCGUCCGGGACGAUAAUGACGGUACCGGAAGAAGAAGCCCCGGCUAACUUCGUGCCAGCCGCCGCCGUAA
rnacentral:rRNA from 1 species